GACGGAGGAUGCAAGUGUUAUCCGGAAUCACUGGGCGUAAAGCGUCUGUAGGUGGUUUAAUAAGUCAACUGUUAAAUCUUGAGGCUCAACCUCAAAAUCGCAGUCGAAACUAUUAGGCUAGAGUAUAGUAGGGGUAAAGGGAAUUUCCAGUGGAGCGGCGAAAUACGUAGAGAUUGGAAAGAACACCGAUGGCGAAGGCACUUUACUGGGCUAUUACUAACACUCAGAGACGAAAGCUAGGGUAGCAAAUGGG
rnacentral:rRNA from 1 species